CACCUACGGGAGGCUGCAGUCGAGAAUUUUUGACAAUGGGGGAAACCCUGAUCGAGCGACGCCGCGUGGAGGAUGAAGGCCUUCGGGUUGUAAACUCCUGUCAUGCGGGAACAAGCAAGUGAUAGUACCGCAAGAGGAAGAGACGGCUAACUCUGUGCCAGCAGCCGCGGUAAUACAGAGGUCUCAAGCGUUGUUCGGAUUCAUUGGGCGUAAAGGGUGCGUAGGUGGCGAUGUAAGUCUGGUGUGAAAUCUCGGGGCUCAACCUCGAAAUUGCAUUGGAUACUGCGUUGCUUGAGGAUUGUAGAGGAGAGUGGAAUUCACGGUGUAGCAGUGAAAUGCGUAGAUAUCGUGAGGAAGACCAGUUGCGAAGGCGACUCUCUGGGCAAUUCCUGACACUGAGGCACGAAGGCCAGGGGAGCAAACGGGAUUAGAUACCCCGGUAGUCCUGGCAGUAAACGGUGCACGUUUGGUGUGGGCGGGUUCAGGCCCCGUCCGUGCCGGAGCUAACG
rnacentral:rRNA from 1 species